AGAGAGAGCACGGUCGAGAGAGAGAGCCAACGGGUUAAAAGGUAGUAACAUGGGUGAUUAGGAAAGAAAUAUCUCAUUUCUAAUCUGUCUACUCCCUUUUUCAUUCCCUCCAUCGAUUUUUGAUCCAAUGGCAAAAACAGACCACCACUGUGGUAGAGAAGCUCCGCAGGUGAUUUUCGCAUUUCCUAUGGUUGUUGUCCCAAACCAGUCCUGCGCUCGGUUAGUGUGGUGGAUGUGGGGCAUGUGGCUAUGCUAAACAUGAAAAC
rnacentral:lncRNA from 1 species